AAGAAAAGAGCCUCAUGUUCCUUCAGGGAAAGUUUAGAUUGGAUAUUAGUAAAAAUGUCUUCAGCAGAAGGGUUGUCAAGCAGUGGAACACACUGUCCAAGAAAGUGUCUGAGUGAUCAUCCCUGGAGGUAUUU